rnacentral:sRNA from 10 species
GGUAAACAAGAUCGGAAAAGGAACUGCAGAACCUAGAACGAGAAAGUUAACCAGGGAGAGACCAGAAAGGUGAAAGUUCAAGGUAGGUUAGCUAGCAUUAAACCAAACUUGACCACCGAGGAUAAAAGAGAUCUUAUCCAAGGAUGCAAGAGGUAAUCUCACUUUUGACACCUACUGAUCUCGAUAGAAAAAA